UGCGGUAAUAAAAUUUCAAGAUUUACUAUUGAAAGGUAAAGUUAUAAAUCUUUGAUAAUCUUUCGUUUUUUGCUAUUGAUUAAUCUUUUUUCCAUCAUUUUCAUCUUCCUUGCAAACAUCAAAAGUUUAUCAAUCAACCAAACUCACUUCUUCCUUCCUACCAUUAAUGUUAUCAAGUCUUAAACCUUUGAUAUAUAAAAAAAAAACUCAAGUUUUGGAGGAGUUGACGAUAUGCUUCAUGUUUUCACAUCGAUGACCGCAACAACAAUUUAAAAGGUAAAAUCUGGCGAGAAUUUUAUUCCUAACCGUUUCAUCCACUAUUUGAUUGAUACUCAAGUUAUUUUCAUGGAUGAAUUUGUCGAAUUCUUCAAAUUGAGGUAAUGGAUACAUAACAAUGGAUCUUUUCAUUUCUAUUUUCAAAAUCACAUAUGGGUUUCGUUGACAACCUAAAAUUCUUUCUGAACUUGAAUUUAAAUUAUUAAACUAGGGCACUAAAAAUCAAGAUAAUAAUUUUCUAACCCAUUUGGCCAUGUGGUUAGGCAUGAUGAUUAACAAUUUUAAUAAUAUUAAUAAAGAGUUGGUUUUCAAAAUUUCCUAAUUUCAUGCACAAAUUGAAUAAUCAAAAUUCUAGAAUCAAGAGGAAUAAUGAAAUUCCAUGGUGAAUCCAAGCUUAGAGAAGGUGAGUGGUGGAGAGAUUUGGUUUAUGUUGUUGUGAAGAAGAAAGGAAAUAAAUAAGAAAAAAGAAUAAUUAAAAGUACACAUAUUUAUGAAAUAAAAUUUAAAAAUAAAGUUUUAUUAUUUGUUUUGAUCCUCACUCUCUUUGAGAGAGUGAGAUACACUCACUGUGCCACAUAAUCGUUUAGGGAGUAGAUUAUAUCAAUUUUAUACAGUUCAGGGGGUAAUAAAACACCCGUGAAGUUGGAGUGUGUAAUUGGAAUUUCAGGUAUAGUUUGGGGGGGCUUUAGACCAUUUUUCAUUUAAUAAUAAUAAUGAAGAGGAUUAAAAGGUGUGGACCAAGCCUAUUCUCUUAUUCUUGUUACUGAGCACGUUCUGCCUGAGGAAUAGAGAGUAGGGUUAUUAUUUGGGAAUAGAUCACUUAUACCCAAAAAAGUGAAAUAUUAACCCUUAAAUGCUCAAUUACUUUCAUACUUUUUUAUUUUAAAAUGACAUCUAUAUAUAUAUAUAUAUAUAUAUAUAUAUUCACACCCUGACAUCAUGCUGAUGUCAACGCCCAUCCUCUUUUCCUCUAUGAUACCAUCAUAGUAUAUUACAAUACAUAAAUAUACUCUAAUGGUAUCAAAGAGAGUAACUGAGUAGUGUCUUCAUUGAAGGACUGUUUCUUCCUCCUUGAUACCAUCAAAGGAUAAUAUACUCUGGUGAUAUCAAUGAGUAACUAAACAAUGUUUUCAUUCAGGUUUGCUUCAGUCCUUCAAUAAGAUUACUCAAACAUCCAUGAUAUCAUUAAGAUAUCUCUACAUAUUGUCGUGGUAUCAUUGAGGUAUGUUUCAAUUCAUCAAUAUUUUAAUUUAAAAACAGUUUAAAAUAGAAUCAUCAUUUAGAUACAAUUUGCAAAAUGAGAAAAAAAUAUAAAAUAUAUUUUCUACUAAUUUAGAGUUUUAUAAAUAAGAUUGUGACUUUAAUAAUUUUCUCUUAAUUGUUUCUUCCUAUAUGAUACCGAUAGGGUAUCAAUAUACCGACAGAGUAUCACAAAUGAUUAAACUCAGUUUUAUAUGAUACAUAUAUGGUAUCAAUAUACUGUCGGAGUAUCACAGAAGAUUAAUUCAUAGUAGUGAUGUUGAUGUCAUGUUGACAUCAUACGUGAAAUAAGAAAAGAGAAAAUGGGUUAAGUGGAUAAAUAAUUUGGGCCAUGAAUCCAUUUAUGAUAAAUAGUUUGGAUUGGAUCUAAUUUAGAUAAAUAGUUCACGAUUGUCUCCAUUUUUAUGUAGUUUUCCCUUUUUUUUCUUAACCUUUUAACGGAAGGCAACAACCUCUUAGAAGAAUUUUGGGGGAGUUCACGAGUCACGACUUAGAAGUAAUUCCAAGCUUUAAAUUGUUGCCACUUUUAACUAGAAAGAAGAGAAGGCAACCAUUAUGAUUAAGUAAUGAUAUUAAGAAAAAAAUGAUUAAGUAAUGAUGGGAUAAUGAUUAGAGAAAUAUAUGGCUAUGGUAAUGAUCCUAAGUGCAGAAAUCUAACCAGUGGUUUUAUUAAUUAAUACUACUAGAAACGAAUUUUGGACAAUAUUUGAAGACUUUAUUCUGGCAAUUUAUUCUUUACUGAAGAUAUCAUGUUUAAACAGUGAUGCUGGGAUAUAUUUUUUUACAUAUUUUAUUUUAUCUUUAAUUUAUAGUUUAAGAUGUCACAUAUAAAGUUUUAGUUUUAAACUUGAAGGUUAUGGAUAUAGAGACUUGAUCCGACUAGCGUAAUUGAUAUCAUUAAUCAAUAUUUUUGUAUAGAUCAAUGCCAUUGAUGAUUGAAGGCUGUUUGGUGUUGUACGCGUGCAAGGUUGUGUGAUUUGUCAUUAGCAAGGUAAGUGAGAUUUUAAGCUUUACUGUUUGCUUUUCAAACCUACUUUAAAAAUAUGUUUUAUCUUUCUGGUCCAUGUGUUGGGACAAGCAUGUGUUUGGCAGAAUCAAUGGUCUUUGAUUAAUUUUGUGAAGAAUACUGAAUAUUCUUUUAUAAGUUUUAUGUGGUGUAAUGUAGGAUAUCCUUCUUCAAUAUCGUGAUAUAAUUACUAGGGACAUACAUAGUUGCCUUAAUAUGUUAGGGGAAUACCUAUGUUGUCGUAAUAUGUUAGGGGUCUCGUACAUGCUGCCAUAGUAUACUUUAUGACAUUAUAUAUCCUGAGUGGACUUGUCGGGGUACUAGGACGAUCUCCUUCACUGUCGUUUAUGACAAGCUUUGAGUGUGGAUUGAGUUUGAGACAUUUAGUGUACUUUUUGAACAUUUGUUUGAACUUAUUGAUCAUUAUAUUACGAAAUAUAUUCUUGUGCUUAUCAUUAUGUGUUUGUUGUGUAGACGUUUUUUUCUAACACUUGUUCUAGGGGCGGUAUUAAAGUAGUGGACCAAGGAUCUUAGUGAAUGAGUUAUAUUUAUAUAUAACUCACUCCUUACAUGCAUAUUUAUUUCGAUAUUGUUGUAGAGGGUGAGACUAUUAGUUGACGAGUUUGUUUGCGUGGAUUUUGUUGCUGAGGUGAGCCUUCGUGUUGUUCGUGGAGGUUACUAUUUCAGCUCUAUCUAUUUAUAGCUUAUAACUUCUUUUCUUGGGAUUUGCAUGCCCGACAGUUGAACUCAUGUAACUCUAAUAGAUAUGCUUAGGGAUGUCAAAGGGGUGGGUUGGGUUUAAAUUAAAGAUAUUAAAAUGGGUUAAAAUAGAAAUUGGGUUGGGUCCUGACUCGCCCAAGUUUACUUUGGGCUCAAAUGGAUUGAGCUCCAAUGGGCUUAAAAACGGGUUGGGUCUUGACUCACCCAAUUUAACCCGCUUAAUUCAAGAACAACUUUCACAUAUAGCAAACACAAAAUUCAUAUUUGUAUGUUAUAACAAAGUUUGCAUAAUUGCUCUCUAUAGCAAACAUAAAUAUGUAUAUUUUGUUAUACAUAUACAAAAGAAAGCAGUUGUAUAAUCUGGAUCAAUUGUAUAAUCUGUGUAUGUAUAAAACGAGAAAGAGAGAAAGACAAAAGAAAACUGGGCAGGGAAAUAUUUGUAUUGUAUAAUUAUAAGUGUAUAGGACGAAGAUAUAUGUAUUUGCAUGUGUAUAUACAAUUUUCUCUCGCUUUAUACAAACACAAACGCACUUUAUACACUUGCGUUUGUAUAAAAAACGAGAGAGGCGAGGGAGAGAANNNNNGUGAGCGAGAUCUGGGAGAGGGGAACGAAAAUAUAUGUAUAUGUACAAUUUUUACGCAUUUUAUACAUUUGCGUUUUUGUAUAAAGUGAGAGAGGCGAGUGAGAGAGCGAGAUCUGGGAGAGUGGCGAGCGAGAUUGGGAGAGGGAGAGAGGAGAACGAAAAUAUAUGUAUAUAUACAAUUUUCUCUCACUUUAUACAAACACAAAUGCACUUUAUACACUUGCGUUUGUAUAAAAAAUGAGAGAGGCGAGGGAGAGAACGAGAGUGGCGAGCGAGAUCACCAGGAGAGAGGUGAAAUAGCAACAGUUUGCUAUGGGGUACAAUUAAAUCAAACUAUAUUUAUAGCAUUUAAUUUGAAUUAAUAGUUUGCUAUUAUAUAUAAUUUUCCCUUAAUUCAAUUAUUUUAAGUAUAAAUUUUAGGAAUCAAUAGUUUUAAUAUGAAAUUACAAUCUAUCCAUAUUUAGUUUGUAAUUACAUUAAUCCCUGAAAAAGUAAAACAAACCGGAUACAUAAUAUGUAGCUCGGAUACAUUAAAAACUAACUCGGAUAUAUUAUAAAAUAAUUUAGAAUUAGGAGAGAAAUAAGGGAUUUUAGAGAUUUUUAGAUAUAGAGGGGAAUAUUAGAAAUAAGGGAAACAUAAAACGUGUAUUUCAGUAAUUUUUUCUUAUUUUAAUAUUUUGUCAUUUAAGUUUUAUAACCACAAUUUGAAUUUCAACUAAGGAAAAUUAAAAAAAUAAAGUUACAAAUUAAUAGAUAAAUCUUAAAAGAUACAAAAUAGAAAGUAACCUUUAGUAUAGGAACAUACAUUACAUCAAUGCAAAUAAACGGGUUAAAAUUGGAGAUUAAAUUGGGCUCAAUUGAGGAUUCUCUUAAAUGGGUUAUUACUUGAAUGAGUUGAUAUUGAACCCAACUCAAAUUAUCUUGAGCCCAACCCUUAAAAUUAUGGGCGGGUUAGACGGGUUACCUACAAUUUUGACACCUGUAGAUAUGCUCCAUUGUCUUAUUGUGAUAUUUGGGCUAAAGAUAUAUUAUUUAAAUUUUAUUUAAGUGUCCCUUUCUUUUCAUAAAUUGAUAUACGAUUUUGAUUGGAUAAUUAUUUUGUUUUAAUAGGUAUUGAUGAGUUUUGGAGUUUGCACAUAUUCUAUGUCAGUGCUUAAAUAAUUUGGGUAAGUAUAUUAAUAUUUGAUUCGUCCGACAGGCCGGGCGGGCUUCAGUGUGAAUCCCGCUAAAUUAUAGAUUUGUUGUUGGUAAAUUAUAGUAAUAAAGUUAAUGGUCAAAAACACAUGUACCUAAUGUCAGGUCCGCUAAAUGGGGUUUGCUUGAUGGAAAUAGGGCUUGAUUGGCAGAGUCCAUAGGUGGCUGGUCAGCACGGGAUGGACAGUAUCCUCAUGCUAUUCGAGUUGGUUGAUCAACAACAUAUGUACUAUAUAUGUUCUUGAAUUGAUAUUAUCAUAGAGUGAUCAAUUUGGUUUUGUUUAAUUCUAGUACAUGAAUUCAUCUCAAUAUUCAGUUUACACCAUUAAAUUUCUG
rnacentral:lncRNA from 1 species